rnacentral:misc_RNA from 1 species
GAUUGAACAGAAGGCAAAGAAGCAACUCAUGUUUUGGAUAAACAAGCUCAUGUGGGCAGCUUGCCUCUCCAUUUCAAUUUCCUUUAUUUCACUUACUUAUGUGGUGGUUGGAGAGAAGGAAAGAGCGCUUGCCAUCUAUGCAACUGUCAUUGGUAGCACCAUAAUGCUCACUACUAUUGGCUCCAUGUGCUAUUGUGUAGUUCGACAUAGGCUAGAAGAGUCAAGGAUGAGGAGUAUAAGGAGGGCUGAGACUCAUUCACAUUCAUACUCAAUGUCUGUGGCAUCAGAUACAGAGCUUUACAGUGAAAACUACAAGAGGAUGUAUGCUGUAUAGGAAGUAAAUAAAAGCCAGAUAAAUUUCUGCCCAAGGCACCAAGUCUGGUACUUUGUAGAUAGCACUAUAAGUGAACAUAUGUUGGUUCUAAACCCUCUAGUCUGAUGAACUUCUAUCAAUGACAUCAGAUACCAAAUUGUUCGAGGAACAAAAGGAUCUACGAGUUAGGAACAGAUGAGGAGAUAGUUCAACUAGACUGCAAUAAUGUCGUGGUGAUGCAUAUCUGCACAAUUCCCCUACAUGGAUUUCCUGCAGCCACUGAAUUUCUGCACAAAUGAGGUGAUAUAUUGCUUAGAAGUUCAAGAUGAAGGCUUUAGCAAAUCCUUCUGUAUUCUUCGCAUGAAUUUUAAUAGUUUGAAUGCAAGCUCUCAUGGAGUUCACUAUCAACCUAGAGUUACUAGUACCAGAUUGAUAGUGAAUGAGAGGAAGGUGGAGAUUGCUGAUAUUGAAUUGCUUUUGCGUAUACAUAAUAAACUUUGUAGAG